rnacentral:rRNA from 1 species
GACGAACCGUGCGAACGUUAUUCGGAAUCACUGGGCUUAAAGGGCGCGUAGGCGGGCGACCAAGUCAGGGGUGAAAUCGUUCGGCCCAACCGGACAAGGGCCCCUGAUACUGGUUGUCUCGAGGGAGGUAGGGGUCGAUGGAACUUCCGGUGGAGCGGUGAAAUGCGUAGAUAUCUGGAGGAACACCGGUGGCGAAGGCGGCAUCCUGGACUGUAACUGACACUGAGGAACGAAAGCCAGGGGAGCAAACGGG